rnacentral:tRNA from 1 species
GCCGGAGUGGCGGAACAGGCAGACGCAAGGGACUUAAAAUCCCUCGGUCCCUCCAUAGACCGUACCGGUUCGAUUCCGGUCUCCGGCACCA